rnacentral:rRNA from 1 species
GAGUUUGAUCCUGGCUCAGGACGAACGCUGGCGGCGUGCUUAACACAUGCAAGUCGAACGGAAAGGCCCUGCUUUUGUGGGGUGCUCGAGUGGCGAACGGGUGAGUAACACGUGAGUAACCUGCCCUUGACUUUGGGAUAACUUCAGGAAACUGGGGCUAAUACCGGAUAGGAGCUCCUGCUGCAUGGUGGGGGUUGGAAAGUUUCGGCGGUUGGGGAUGGACUCGCGGCUUAUCAGCUUGUUGGUGGGGUAGUGGCUUACCAAGGCUUUGACGGGUAGCCGGCCUGAGAGGGUGACCGGCCACAUUGGGACUGAGAUACGGCCCAGACUCCUACGGGAGGCAGCAGUGGGGAAUAUUGCACAAUGGGCGGAAGCCUGAUGCAGCAACGCCGCGUGCGGGAUGACGGCCUUCGGGUUGUAAACCGCUUUCGCCUGUGACGAAGCGUGAGUGACGGUAAUGGGUAAAGAAGCACCGGCUAACUACGUGCCAGCAGCCGCGGUAC